CGUCCUCCUCUCUGAGUGCUCUCUCCUUUUUGAUCAAUUUACUAUUAGUAAGGGACAGAGAAGGCACUGGUGAUGCUGUUGACAGAAGAUAGAGAGCACAGAUGAUGAAAUGCGCGCGAGUUCGCAUCUCACUCCUUUGUGCUCUCUAUGCUUCUGUCAUCACCUUCAGCUUCUCUUCUCAUACUUUAGUAACACCACCACCACUACUCCCAGUUUCUCUUCUCAUACUUUAGAUACACACCACCACCAGACUCCCUGCUUCUCUUCUCAUACAAUUGUUGGUUCCUUUGGUUUGUUUGUUUUAUUUGUGCAGGCUAAAUUGGUUCAGUGUUGCAGAAAAUGUUCGCUCAAGGGAUUGCUCUUAAUCUUGACUUCGGAUUUUAGAAGUGAAAAUCAUGAACCCACGUUCAGACUGUUAUAAACUAAUUAGGGAGAGAGAAGGCAGCGGUCAUGUUGUUUCUUGACAGAAGAUAGAGAGACAGAUGAUGAAAAACGUGCCAAAUUGAGAGAGGAUUGCAGAUAAUUAAUGUUCGCCGAAGGGAUUGCUUCUGCUCUUGACUUUGGAUUUGGAAGUGAAAAAUCAGAAACCCAAUUCGCAUAUUUUGGUUUUGAAGUAAUUUCUUUCUUAUCUCAGAGCAGAAAUGGUCUGUGAGGUUGGAUAGUUCUGUUGGAAUUCAGGUUGCAACCUUUGAAGCCUUUAACAAAUAACCAGGCAAUUUCAUGGCAAGUUGUAUUAUGGGUUUGUGUUUUUUAAUGCAUCUUGCAUUUCUGUUUUCCUAUCAGGAUUUUUAUGUGAGCAACCAAACAUCUGUAUUUGGUAAUGUGACUGCAGAGUCUUCUCUUUCAUUUAUCAAUGUACAGUUGCAGUGUCUCCUA